ACUGCCAAACAGGGCAGGAAAACUGUAUUUAAGGCUGCCUCAAAGCCUAGCAAAUCAGACUUCGCCGAUGGGUACCAGUGCCUCAGAAACUGAGACAACCUCCCACUUCGUCCGCAGCCUACCCGAAGUCCCAAGCUUGCAGGAAGGGAUAUACCUGUGUGGCGUCCUUUGUACUUUGGUAACCCAGUGUCGGACCUGAGACUUACUCUUACCGGCUACACUCCCACUCAAAGUUCUUCAUUUAUGGUUGUGGUGCCCUUCUGCUUUUGAGGAGAUGAUCAUUCAUAUUUGAGAACAUGUCAGAGUAAAAGUAGUCAAAGCGCCGAGAUAUAUGGCAAAAUGGUGAUGGUGCUGAGCUCUCUGGUGAUAGCGCUGAGGUCUCCUCCACCCACUAAAAUGAUUUAUUCAAGUGAAAAGCAAGAAGGGAGAAGGUACAGCGCUUGACUUCCUCUGCUUACUGUUCAGGAAACAUCUAAUUCAUAAGAGAGUUCCUGUAGUCCCGGAUCCUCAUGUUUAUGUUGGGAAAUAUUGAAGAAGAACCUUACUCCAACAGAGAAGUCCUCUUGGAGCCUGCGCCAAGUAGGAUCUGGGAGUUUGAAAUAUUCUGCAUAAUUGCAAAUGCCUGUGAACUUUUGAUCCAAAUUUUAUUCUCUGAUCUCAGUUGAAAUGUUUUUUCUACAAGCUACACAUUGAAGUUUUGUUGCUGCCCAAUUUUUAUUUCUGCAUCCAAUUUUCAAAAUUCUUUCGAGAAUAGGUUUAAGCUAUAUUGGCAUCACAGAUAAAGGCAUCCUUAAUCACCUUCCCAUCAGAGUUAGUCCACAUACAAGCUGGGCUGAUGGAGAUGCCAGGAGUGCUUUAUAGAGUCACUGAUUUCUUUGUAGUCUCUGAACUGCCCUCUCUACUUCCUCACUGGUCUGUGGGCAAUGUGGAUGACAAGUAUGAUUAAAAUCAAAGUCCUGUGGAAAUACUAGGAAUAUUUUGGAUGCAAAUUGAGAGUGAUUAUCAGCUGUGAGUACUUCAGGAACUGCUUGUAUUGCAGAUAUUGACUUGGAUUUCUGCAUGACCAGUUCUGAUUAAGUCUGUUUAAGUACUGCUAAGUCAAUGUAUCUGGAGAAGUAAUCAAUUUCAAUAAUGUGUAUGUGUACUUUCCACAAAAAAGAAUCCUUGACUACCCAUCACCAAGGUCUGUCAGAUAAUUUUGCAGAGCAUAUUGAAUCUGGUGAUUGGUGGUGGUUUUAUUCUCCUCCAUCCGUCCACAUACCUCCAUGAGGCAUAUCCCAUAGUCUUCUAUUAAGUCAAUUAAGGUCUGAAUUUACCUAUUCAUAAUGGGCCACCAUGUAAAUUGCUGUGCUCGUACCCUGCACUUGUUUAUCCUUUGUUUAUGAAUUUGGGAGAACAUCUCUUCAUGAAGUACCAUGCCACCUUUUUGAAGCAGGCCCUCAGACAUGUAAAAGUCUUUUUGGUCUUGCCAAUAUGGUAUUACAUUCACUAGGCUCCUUCAACCCCAACCUUUUUCACAUUGUUGAAGUCUGGAAAGACUCAUCUUUUAAUUAUUUGUCUUUAUUCUCUUGAAGUUGGUGGGUAGAUACUGCCAGAAAAGGUCCAGAUAGAGGUAAGACACAUCUUCACUUGCCAUGCCAGAGAUUGCUCUUCUGGCAUUUGAUUUAGUGGGUCUAGUUAAGGCCCAUAAAUUGAAUGCUGAAGGCUGUUCUGGCUGGUACCUGUACUCCUUGCAAUUGCAAGGAGUCAGGGAAGCCGAAGGGAGCAUUUGCUCCCAUUGGCCUCCUUCCAUGAAGACAGUGCCAAGUUC